rnacentral:lncRNA from 1 species
AGUGGGAAGGAUCAAUAGAGAACAACGGAGGAUCAAUAUGAUCAAAUUAUAUCACAUACACUCUUGAAAUAAAACUCAUCAUUGUGAAUGGCUAACAUAUGCUAGCUAAGUAUAUAGACAAGACCAGAAAGUUCAAGUGUCCAAUAAACACAAGAUGUUCAGGAUCAUGGGUAAUCCAGGAAGUGCAAAUUCAAGUAACAAACUUUAUUCAUUAGAUUAAGAAAAUAUUCAAAUCUAAGUAUAGUUGUGAUAUCAAAUUUCGGCAAAGCUAUAGGAAAAGAAAAUAGGCUCAUUACUUUCUGCUGAACAUGUUACUUGGUAAAGACCCUUUAGGGGAUAAUUUUAUAUUUUUUAAUUUGAUAUUCUUUUUUAUAUUCUGUUCUACAUUCUUUUUAAAUUUGGCUCAUCUUUUGUUUAUGGGAGAAAUGUAUGUAUGGUGCAUGUUUUAGUGUGUUAGUGUGUGUGCACCAAGCCAUGUGAGGACUUGGAUCCUGCUCUAGCACUCUCUGCCCUUUAGGACAGGCUCUCUCUGAACUGUCACAGACUGGGCCAUCUUUCUGGUUCCUUCUUUUCAUGGUUACAGGCACACAUGGCCACACCUGACUUUUUACUUGGGUGCUAAGAUUCAAGCUCAAGCCCUCACACUUGCCCAGCAAGCACUCUUACCUACUGAGCCUCAGCAUCCUUCUUAAAACAUACAAAUCGCAUGACCCAGCACCUCCCUGCCAUAAAGAAGCACAAGCACAUGUACAUCCAAUGUGUUACAUAAGGGCUGGCUAUUACAGCUUUGGCUCCAAUGGUAAAACAAUGGAAAUGACCCAAAUGUUCAACAGCUGUGAAGAAUUAAACUAAAUUGGACAAGUCUUCAAAAAUAUUAAUUUUUUAAAAGCAAGCUGUUAUUUUUUUAACAAGUAAAAUGGCUCACUGGGUACCAGCACUUGAUCUGCAGGCAUAAGGACCUUAACUUGAAUCUUUCACACCACAUAAAAAGCCAGGCAUGGUUGAACAUGCCUGUAACCCCAGCGUUGUGGGACAGAAACUAGAGACUCCUGAGAUCUCACUGGCCGGCCAGCCUGGUCAAAAUGUCAAGCUCCCUGUUCUGUGAGAGAACCUGUCUCAAAGCAACACUCAACAGCCUGCUGUGACUUUCACAUGUAUGCAUAUUGGCACACACAGCCACACACAUACAUAUGCAACACACACAUGCACACAUACAGCAGACCAAGCUAUACAAUAAACAAACUGGCUUUAAAAAUAAUAAUAGGAAGCUAAGUGUGAUAGUGCAUUCUGUAAUUGAAAGUACUGAAGCAGGAAGCAAAUGAGUUCAAGACCAACCUGGCUACACAGUAUAAACCUGUCUUUACAAUGAAUUUAUUAUCACUUGCCAGAGAGAAUGUGUGUGUGUGUGUGUGUGUGUGUGUGUGUGUGUGUGUGUGUGUAUGAAUGAAAAGCCCUAGCUCUAGAACAAAGCAUACUAAGCUGUACCAGUGAUUGCUGGGAAGAGAGCUAAGCCAGACCAACUUUUAGUUAGAGUCAGCAAGAAUGACAUAUUUGUAAGUUAGGUCUAUAGUUAACAAUUGGAUAGUGACUGGUGAAGAGUUAGUUGAGUGGAUCUUCUGUACAACUGUUCACUUACUCAGUAAAUCAAACUGUACUAAGAAGUAUAACAAUUACACAACAGUUUGCUUUUAAAAUUUAAAAAAAAAAAGCUUUAAAAAUCUCAGAGGUGUCCUGUGCUAAUAACUGCAUUAGGCUGCAUUGAGGAAUGUAUAGUUCUAAUGAUGUAACUAAUGUGCAGCUCAAGGUCUAUGGCAGGUAUUGUCCCUUAGCCUCAGAUGUGCACCUCCUGUAGUCAAAGAGCUUCUGUACUUGGGGGGUCCUUUGACCUUCAGAAAGUCAUAAAAACUGAAAAUCAGUUCUCACCACCCUUAUCUAAAGACAGGUCAAUACUGUCUUGUGGAGUUGGUGUUCAGAAGGGCAGAACAUUUGCACAACAGGACCUCAGAUACCAAGUGUGAAACCACAAUGUACUAAGAAACGAUACAUCCGCUGGGUGUGGUGGCACAUGCCUUUAAUCCCAGAACUUGAAAGGCAGAGGCAGGCAAAUUUCUGAGUUCAAGGCCAGCCUGGUCUACAGAAUGAGUUCCAGGACAGCCAAGGCUACCCAGAAAAACCCG